rnacentral:lncRNA from 1 species
UUUUUUGUAGUUAACUAACAUUUGUCAAACUAACACACUGCUGUUAUAUUACACCAAUUUGUUUGUGUUGACAUACACUCAUAUCGACCUUAAUUUAAUAAAAAAAAAUGUUUAAGUUUCAUGUUUGCUAAUGUUUUAAACACGUAUUUAACACCUCUUCAUCGUGUUUGCGCUUGGUUGGGUGUGAUAAAGUUCUGGAGACUUAUAAUAAAACUGUACUGCCUCCCUCUACUGGACGCAUCAAGAACAACAGGGGUGUAAAACUGCCCAGGCCAUAAAACUGCUUGGGCCGUAGAUCUGUCUGGAUCCAAGUCUGCAGUCUUCCCCACCUCGAAUAUUUCGUGCAACAGCGCCCCCUGGUCAGUGAUCACAAUUUUCGGCACAACACCGCCCUUCAGAAACGAAAGUGAAAGUGUUUAGUUGUUGUGUUGCAGUUUUAAACAACCAAAAUUCAUCAUUUACCAACGCGGAACAGCUUUAAAUCUUUAAUGUCUGGACAAAACCUGUAAGCUUUAUGUGAAUGUGUGUAUGAUGUUAUUAUAAUCAAACGGAUGACGCUGUGAUUCUUCAUUAGUUUACUCGUGAUGAGCUUCUGGAUUUGAGUGUCUCAGCUGCUGAUCUAUUCCUGCAUUCAGCUGAAUUAUGAAGGCUGAUCAAUGACUGGAGAUCUGUGAUUGUUUAUCAGUUUCUUGUUUCUUCUAGAGUUUCUGCUGGAGAUCAAACUCUUCAGAUCCAUCAUGGAGGACACAAACACACCUGGAGUUCUGGAUUUGUCUACAGGAUGCAGUUCAGUUCAUCAGAAGAGAGCAGAAGCAGAGCCCAGCUGUGUGUCUAUGAAGAGUGACGCGUCUAUGGAUGAACCAAUAAAUCUUAAGAGUAAAAACACAGGACCUGCUGUCAGUGAUGAAUAUGAGUCAGCAGCUUCAGGAGACGAGACUCACAGGAGACACAAGAGCUUCACAGACAAUCUCCAGUUGAUCUUCCAGGUAAAAAAACUCAUUUAGACUUAUUAACGCCACUAAGGUAACUCAAUGAAACUAACUAAAACCCUGACUAACUAAAAGUGUCUACAAAAUGAAUGAUCUUAAUAGUCUGUGCUGCUUUGGUUUUUCAGAUAUUAAAAUAAUAUUUCUUGGUCAUUCAGAGGUCUCUCAGUCAUUUACAGGCACUUCAAGAGUUCCCA